CUUCUCCAAAAGACUUUACCUUCAUCUAUGUCACUUUUCAUUUCUCAUCUCACUCAUUCAUAAUUACGAUAACUGAUCUUAAAAAAAAAAAAGCGAAGAAAAUCCGGUCAUCCACCGCCAGAAAAGCCAACGGCUUCGUUCAGAUCCACUGUCAGCAACAAAUUACGCCCAGAUCCACCACCACCACCAACUUCCGACUACAUCCACCAUCACAAAAAGUUCUCUGAUUUUGUUAAGGUUUUCUGCCAGACGAGAUUCUUCGACGUUUUUACCCAUUUUAGAGUUUUGUCAAGAUUUUUGUUAAAAAAAGGAAGCUUUUGACACGGUUCACAACGGUUCGAUAACCGAUCUGGUUCACUUUCGACCGGACGGUCAUACGGUUCUUUCCGGUUCAGUUUCUGCUAUUAGACCGGGAUCAUUUCGACCGGGAUUCACUAAAAAUCCGGUCAAACCGCGGUCAGAUCGGUCUGACCGGCCGGUUUGAAAACACUGGGCUUUAGUGAACAAAGAAACACAGGUGCUAAAUAGUGAAAGGAACUUGAAAGGUUACUGAAUGCAGGGUUAAUGAGUUAAAAACUUAGAUUGAAGAGCUACACUAGUCACUAGAGGCUAAGUUUUCUUUAAUUUUAUUUUAAACCAGCAUCGUAUUAUGACCCCGGCCCAGUUGCCAGAUAGAAAAGGCUAAAGUGAGGCUCUUGGGCUUCUUGAUACACAUUAGACAUAUUAGGCUCUUGGGCUUCUUGGCCUUUUGGGCUAUA